UAAUCCCAGCUACUCAGGAGGCUGAGGCAGGAGAAUCACUUGAACCCAGGUGGUAGAGGUUGCAGUGGGUCACGACUGUACCACUGAACUCUGGCCUAGGAGACAAAGCAAGACCCUGUCUCCAAAAAAAAAAAAAAAAAAAAAAAUUAUGGUAAGAAAAUCUCAACAAGGAAG